AACGAACGCUGGCGGCAGGCUUAACACAUGCAAGUCGAGCGAGACCUUCGGGUCUAGCGGCGGACGGGUGAGUAACGCGUGGGAACGUGCCCUUCUCUACGGAAUAGCCCCGGGAAACUGGGAGUAAUACCGUAUACGCCCUUUGGGGGAAAGAUUUAUCGGAGAAGGAUCGGCCCGCGUUGGAUUAGGUAGUUGGUGGGGUAAUGGCCCACCAAGCCGACGAUCCAUAGCUGGUUUGAGAGGAUGAUCAGCCACACUGGGACUGAGACACGGCCCAGACUCCUACGGGAGGCAGCAGUGGGGAAUCUUAGACAAUGGGGGCAACACUGAUCUAGCCAUGCCGCGUGAGUGAUGAAGGCCUUAGGGUUGUAAAGCUCUUUCAGCUGGGAAGAUAAUGACGGUACCGGCAGAAGAAGCCCCGGCUAACUCCGUG
rnacentral:rRNA from 1 species